rnacentral:tRNA from 1 species
GGGGACUUAGCUUAAGUAAAAGUGUCUGGUUUGCAUCCAGGAGAUGUGAGGUAGUUCUUGCAGUCCUUA